UACAGAGGGUGCAAGCGUUGCUCGGAAUUAUUGGGCGUAAAGGGUAGGUAGGUGGUCUCAUUUGUCUGGGGUGAAAGCCUUGAGCUUAACUCAAGAAGUGCCCCAGAAACGGUGAGACUGGAGUCCUGGAGAGGGUCGUGGAAUUCCCGGUGUAGCGGUGAAAUGCGUAGAGAUCGGGAGGAACACCAGCGGCGAAAGCGGCCACCUGGACUGCACCUGACGCUGAAACGCGAAAGCUAGGGGAGCGAACGGG
rnacentral:rRNA from 1 species